GUGGGGAAUAUUGGGCAAUGGGGGAAACCCUGACCCAGCAACGCCGCGUGAAGGAAGAAGGUUUUCGGAUCGUAAACUUCUAUCCUUGGUGAAGAUAAUGACGGUAGCCAAGAAGGAAGCCCCGGCUAACUACGUGCCAGCAGCCGCGGUAAUACGUAGGGGGCAAGCGUUGUCCGGAAUGAUUGGGCGUAAAGGGCGCGUAGGCGGCCCGGUAAGUCUGAAGUGAAAGUCCUGCUUUUAAGGUGGGAAUUGCUUUGGAUACUGUCGGGCUUGAGUGCAGGAGAGGUAAGCGGAAUUCCCGGUGUAGCGGUGAAAUGCGUAGAGAUCGGGAGGAACACCAGUGGCGAAGGCGGCUUACUGGACUGUAACUGACGCUGAGGCGCGAAAGUGUGGGGAGCAAACAGGAUUAGAAACCCGAGUAGUCC
rnacentral:rRNA from 1 species